rnacentral:rRNA from 1 species
UACGGAGGGUGCAAGCGUUAUCCGGAUUCACUGGGUUUAAAGGGUGCGUAGGUGGGCAAGUAAGUCAGUGGUGAAAUCUCCGGGCUUAACCCGGAAACUGCCAUUGAUACUAUUUGUCUUGAAUACUGUGGAGGUCAGCGGAAUAUGUCAUGUAGCGGUGAAAUGCGUAGAUAUCUGGAGGAACACCGGUGGCGAAGGCGGCAUCCUGGACCGGUAUUGACGCUGAGGCGCGAAAGCCAGGGGAGCAAACGGG